rnacentral:rRNA from 1 species
UUUAAGAAAGCGUUAAAGCUCAUUAAGCUCUCAAUCUCAAUACCAAAAUUUAUCUUAAUCCCUUUACUACUAUUGAAUGAUUCUAUACUUUAUAGAAGACCUAAUGCUAAAACUAGUAACAAGAAAUUGAAUUUCUCCAAAACACAAGUAUACAUCAAAACGGACAAACCAUUGAUAAUUAACGCUAAUGAGCCACAUAUAGCAACUAUACAAGAAAACACUAUAUAUGCUAACGUUAACCUUACACAAGUGUAUUCCCGGAAAGAUUAAAAGAAAGGGAAGGAACUCGGCAAACUUUAACCCCGCCUGUUUACCAAAAACAUCGCCUCUUGACUAAACAUAAGAGGUCCAGCCUGCCCAGUGACAUAGUUAAACGGCCGCGGUACUCUGACCGUGCGAAGGUAGCAUAAUCACUUGUUCUCUAAAUAAGGACUUGUAUCAACGGCAUCACGAGGGUUAUACUGUCUCCCUUUUCUAAUCAGUGAAACUGACUUCCCCGUGAAGAGGCGGGGAUAAACCUACAAGACGAGAAGACCCCAUGGAGCUUUAAACCCAAUAGCAACCCCCAACAAAUACGACCAUUAAACCCAGAGGCCCUGCUCAUUGGUUUUAGGUUGGGGUGACCGCGGAGUAUAACUAAACCUCCAUGACGAAUAGAUUUCAUCCUAAUCUCAGGGCUACCGCCCUAAGAAUCAAAAAUUUGACGUAAAAUGAUCCGAUAAUCGAUCAACGAACCAAGUUACCCUGGGGAUAACAGCGCAAUCCAUUUCAAGAGCCCCUAUCGACAAAUGGGUUUACGACCUCGAUGUUGGAUCAGGGUAUCCCAGUGGUGCAGCCGCUACUAAAGGUUUGUUUGUUCAACAAUUAAA